GACGAACGCUGGCGGCGUGCCUAAUACAUGCAAGUCGAGCGCAGGAAACUGACGGAACUCUUCGGAGGGAAGGCAGUGGAAUGAGCGGCGGACGGGUGGGUAACACGUAAGGAACCUGCCUCAAGGAUUGGGAUAACUCCGAGAAAUCGGAGCUAAUACCGGAUAGUUCAACGGACCGCAUGGUCCGCUGACGAAAGGCGCUCCGGCGUCACCUUGAGAUGGCCUUGCGGUGCAUUAGCUAGUUGGUGGGGUAACGGCCCACCAAGGCGCCGAUGCAUAGCCGACCUGGGAGGGUGAUCGGGCACACUGGGACUGAGACACGGCCCAGACUCCUACGGGAGGCAGCAGUAGGGAAUCUUCCACAAUGGACGAAAGUCUGAUGGAGCAACGCCGCGUGAGUGAUGAAGGUUUUCGGAUCGUAAAACUCUGUUGUAAGGGAAGAACACGUACGAGAGGGAAUGCUCGUACCUUGACGGUACCUUACGAGAAAGCCACGGCUAACUACGUGCCAGCAGCCGCGGUAA
rnacentral:rRNA from 1 species